CGUAACAAGGUUUCCGUAGGUGAACCUGCGGAAGGAUCAUUACUGAUUUGCUUAAUUGCACCACAUGUGUUUUUUAUUGAACAAAUUUCUUUGGUGGCGGGAGCAAUCCUACCGCCAGAGGUUAUAACUAAACCAAACUUUUUAUUUACAGUCAAACUUGAUUUAUUAUUACAAUAGUCAAAACUUUCAACAACGGAUCUCUUGGUUCUCGCAUCGAUGAAGAACGCAGCGAAAUGCGAUACGUAAUAUGAAUUGCAGAUAUUCGUGAAUCAUCGAAUCUUUGAACGCACAUUGCGCCCUUUGGUAUUCCAAAGGGCAUGCCUGUUUGAGCGUCAUUUCUCCCUCAAACCCCCGGGUUUGGUGUUGAGCAAUACGCUAGGUUUGUUUGAAAGAAUUUAACGUGGAAACUUAUUUUAAGCGACUUAGGUUUAUCCAAAAACGCUUAUUUUGCUAGUGGCCACCACAAUUUAUUUCAUAACUUUGACCUCAAAUCAGGUAGGACUACCCGCUGAACUUAAGCAUAUCAAUAA
rnacentral:misc_RNA from 1 species